CCUUCUCUAGAGUUUUGCAGUGAGCUCAGGAUGUUGUUUUACAGUUAUAAAUGUGAAAAUAGAGAACCCAUGAGAAAGAAGGCUAGAAAUAAAAUAUUUCUACUUUAGGACCAAGCCACAGUAGCAUCUGAGAAGCUAGACACAUUGCAGAAACUCUUCCCUGUUUUCAGACUUGAUUAGAGACUGGUCUGUCAGGAAAAGGAGGAUUUCAGCUUUAAAAUGAGCCUUUGGAAACACUGCCCAAGUGUGAAUACUGAUCUUGCAUCCAGUGUACAACUUGACCUUGACAAAAGUAGGAGCCGAAGUAUUAAGAUGUUCUCCUUAAAUGUGUGAAGUCAUGGUGCAGAGAAACAAAACUGGAGUAAGCCUUGGUCUUUCAUAUCUCUCUGGACUUUUCUUACCAGCCCAGGAUCUUAGAGUCAUAGAAUCACAGAAACACAGAACAGCUUGGGUUGGAAUGGUCCUCAAGGAUCAUGAAGU